GUGGGCGUGCCGGAGUGGUUAUCGGGCAUGACUAGAAAUCAUCUGGGCUUUGCCCGCGCAGGUUUGAAUCCUGCCGCUCACG
rnacentral:tRNA from 1 species